AUCCGUGAGGGCGGGUAGUUAAGGGCUGUUUUCUAUGUUUGAGAAAAGGGCAAAAGCAGCUCAGUCUCAUUCUCCAGCUCUCUCUCUGUGCAACAGACUCGUCAGCGACAUCGACUCAAAAUGAAGGUGAACAGCACGUGGCUCAAACGGGUGUUUCCAGGCGUUUGGACUCAUCAAAUGCAUCCCUGGUUGGAGUAUGAUGCAGAGGUGUGAAGAAGCUGGGGAUGAUGAGGUGUGAUCACACUGACUGAAUUCACUCUUCGUUCACGACAUUCAAUAAGAUGGUCUCGUGUUUGUGCAUCUGGUCUGAACGCUCUAGUAUGAGCUACUGAAACCUCUCUGGCUACAGAAUGCUAUGACAUGUGACUUCUCCGGA